rnacentral:rRNA from 1 species
UACGUAGGGAGCAAGCGUUGUCCGGAAUCAUUGGGCGUAAAGAGCGUGUAGGCGGCCCGGUAAGUCGGUUGUGAAAGUCAAGGGCUCAACCCUUGAAAGCCGACCGAUACUGUCGGGCUAGAAUCCGGAAGAGGCGAGUGGAAUUCCUGGUGUAGCGGUGAAAUGCGCAGAUAUCAGGAGGAACACCGAUGGCGAAGGCAGCUCGCUGGGACGGUAUUGACGCUGAGACGCGAAAGCGUGGGGAGCAAACAGG